rnacentral:rRNA from 1 species
AACGACUCUCGGCAACGGAUAUCUCGGCUCUCGCAUCGAUGAAGAACGUAGCGAAAUGCGAUACUUGGUGUGAAUUGCAGAAUCCCGUGAACCAUCGAGUCUUUGAACGCAAGUUGCGCCCGAAGCCUUUUUUGGCUGAGGGCACGUCUGCCUGGGCGUCACAC